GUCCACUUAAAAUCCAGAAUCAACAAAUUUAGAACCAAGGCAAAGGAGAAAACAGUCACUACAAUAUUUUUUAAGACACUGAGUAGAUUUUUUUUGCAUUGGUCUCUCUAUAUAAAAUUAUUUUCAACAUCUCUGUAUUUAUGAUUGUAGUGGGUCAAGCUGACUUGGUUCUCCUUGAGCUAGACAAUGUGUGUGUCAACAUUUGGGCUACAAUAUCCUGCUAUGUGUUGAUCUUUGAAAGUAAGAGAAUGUGCUGGGAUGGGAUGGGGAGGCAGAACUUGGAGCAAGAAGCAUCAUCAUUCAGGCUUCACAUAGGAAACACCUCAAGAUAUCAGUAUCAGAGCAACCCUUUACAAGUAUUUGUCAAGAUUUAUUUUACUUAUUUAUUGAAAUAAAGCAGAGAAACUGAGAUGGAAGGGGGAGGUAGAGAGAAAGACACCUGGCAGCACUGCUUAAGCGCUUGUGAAGCUUUCUCUUUGCAGGUGACUCGACAUAUUACCAUCUUAAGCUAGGUAUCAUUUCUUUCUUUUUCUUUUUAAUUUCUUUAUGGAGGAAUUAAUGUUUUACAUUCCACAUUAAAUACAAUAGUUUGUACAUGCAUAACAAUUCCCAGUUUUCCAUAUAACAAUCUAGGUAUCAUUUCUAAAGCCUGUUAAAUCUAAAAUGUCUUAACUUUUUGUAAUAAUUUCCUGAUUCACGUUUCCCUGUCUUAAACAUCUUGGUUCUGUUUAAAUUUGCCUUGUGGGAACUCCCAUCUGUCUCUGAUCUUGGUAAUUUUACAGGGCUUUUAGUUGAAUGCCAGCAGUAACGCUCCCAGUUAAAAAAUAAAGAAAUCGCUCUGUGUGUGCUUCGAGCUAGGCUUUACCAGAAGAUUAUCGAGAAAGACAGGUGUCAACAGCAAAAUGCCAGAAGACUGCAGGUUGGAACAAGAGCCCAGUCAGAAAGAAUUCGGACCUACAAUUUUACCCAGAAUAGAGUCACUGACCACAGGGUGUCCUUGCUGGUGGGAGAGGCCCCUGGAUGGGCUUCCAUGGGGUCACCCCUGAGAGCCCUGAUAGAUGAACAGAUCUUCUCCAUCAUGUAUCACCAAGAAGCUAC